GUGGAGCUGAAUAUGAAAAGAACUUGGAUGGACUAUCAACAACGAAAUGCUUCUCCAGCUACUUGAGAAACUUCAGCACCUUUGAUUCUCAGACGUAUUACUGUGCCACGGCCACAUGUGUGGAGUCAUUUUCUGAAGAUACAACAAAAGGUGAUACUGAAGUCAACAGGAACAAUACCAUUCUCUAUCUUUUAUGUGCUGCUUUGGCUAUAAGUCUGAUUGUUAUAGCCUCUCUAAUUUAUUCAAUCAAGAACCUGAAGACGCAACCAUAUAUGGAUUGUAAUGCUGCUGUUGGCCUGCAAACAAAUGUCAUUGGAAAUGGUGGUCAAGAAAAUCUGCAGGUGGAUGAGGACUCGGUGGUUUAUUCUCUAGCAACUUUUAAAAAAGUGAGCAAAUCAAAGACAAGAGAUACAAAACCUGCAGGCUGCAUCUACACCGAUGCCAGGGCCCUUGUACUGGAUUGAGAUCUAUCAAACUCAUCAAUGUGGAUACAAAUGUUUAUACAAAGUGUUUGGUAUAAAUUUAAUUUAUCAUUUGGACAAACUGAAAGAAAAUAUAAAUUGUAUUUUUUUAGGUUUUUGUCAUAGCUUACAUGCAAAGAUAAUAAAUAAACAACAGAUGCAAACAACUGAAUGUUUUUAAGUUUGAAAAAUAAAACGUUUUUAUUGUGAUGUUUCACAAUAAUCAUUUGUAUAUGUAUGCAUGUUUUUGUACAAAGUAAUAAACAGUUAUAAAUAGUCAUGGUGUUAAAAUCACAGACACAGAUUAAUCUCCUUAUUGUCCAUGGAAAAAAGUCUU
ensembl:lncRNA